UACGUAGGGUGCAAGCGUUAAUCGGAAUUACUGGGCGUAAAGCGUGCGCAGGCGGUUAUGCAAGACAGAUGUGAAAUCCCCGGGCUCAACCUGGGAACUGCAUUUGUGACUGCAUAGCUAGAGUACGGUAGAGGGGGAUGGAAUUCCGCGUGUAGCAGUGAAAUGCGUAGAUAUGCGGAGGAACACCGAUGGCGAAGGCAAUCCCCUGGACCUGUACUGACGCUCAUGCACGAAAGCGUGGGGAGCGAACAGG
rnacentral:rRNA from 1 species